CUGAGUUCUUUCUGGACAGAACUCAGAAGACUUACCCAACUCCGUAUAGAUGUCUUGGCAGAGCAGCAGUUAAGAGGCAGUGGGAGGAACAAGGGAACUGGUACUGGUUCAGAGUCUCAGGACACUGCUUUCCCCAAACAAUGCCAUUCAUUUCAUUGCUCAAACUUUUAACUAAUGCACGGGUGUGACUAGCAUUUUCAGUUGCUUUUCUCCUUCCCUCGCCUUUCCUAAGGACUUCAGAUUGAUCUGCAAAAAAUAAAGGCUCUCAUGGAAAACAUGGGUUACGACCUCGAGGAGGAUGAAUAUGACGACUUCUUGAGUUACCUGCCCAUGUACAAGAGUAGGAUGGUUGGCUUGAGAGACGUAAUGGCAAGGGGGAACCUUUAUACGGGUGAGAAGAUUGAUAUCGGCGACCUACCAGAAUUCCUGGACAACAUAGGGAUAAAACUCACAGAAGACAAGACAAUGAAACUCCUGGGUAAACUGCCGACUGAUGGUGAGCAUCAGAGGAUACCAAACUAGCCCCGGAGAAGUGUUAAACAUACAAACUUGUGUGACCAGAGAAGAGGCC
rnacentral:lncRNA from 1 species